rnacentral:rRNA from 1 species
UGGGGGAUAUUGCACAAUGGGCGCAAGCCUGAUGCAGCGACGCCGCGUGGGGGAUGAAGGCCUUCGGGUUGUAAACUUCUUUUGCUCUGAACAAGGCGCACUUUGGGGUGUGUUGAGUGUAGGGGUUGAUUAGCGCCGGCUAACUACGUGCCAGCAGCCGCGGUAAUACGUAGGGCGCGAGCGUUGUCCGGAAUUAUUGGGCGUAAAGGGCUUGUAGGUGGCUGGUUGCGUCUGUCGUGAAAGCUCAUGGCUUAACUGUGGGUUUGCGGUGGGUACGGGCUGGCUUGAGUGCAGUAGGGGAGGCUGGAAUUCCUGGUGUAGCGGUGGAAUGCGCAGAUAUCAGGAGGAAUACCGGUGGCGAAGGCGGGUCUCUGGGCUGUUACUGACACUGAGGAGCGAAAGCAUGGGAGCGAACAGG